CAGAAAACAAGUGAGGCUUAAUCAAGAUAGGAGUUUAUUUCUCUCUCCCAAAAGAAGUCUGGAAGCAGGCAGGCCCGGGCUGUGACUGGGCCUUCGUGAACUAAGUCCUAAAGAUCUAGACUGGUAGCCCUCUGGCCUCCUCAGAAGAAAGAGAGACGGAGGACAGGCUUCUCCCUGGGAAAAACUGCCCGGAAACCCCUCACAGCACUUCUUGGAUUCCUUUGGACAGAACUUGAUCAACAUGGCAACAGCUGAAUGAAAGGGAAUUUGGAAAGUGUCAUUUUAAGUCUGGCUGGCUCUGUGCCUUCCUCAUUUCAGAGUCCCGUCCCUGACGAAGCAGGAGACACAACCAGCAGACUCUGCCACAGUCUUCGCGUAUAUACCCCAUGUGACGCCUGUAUCCUCAGUCCUUGGAAAGGUUGACUACGGUGAGAAAUACUGGAAGAGGAGGUAUCGGAUGGUUUAAAAGGAAUAGAAAAUGACGAAGAGUCCAAGACGAAUUUCACUUGAUUGUUGAACACCGAGCGCUCCUGAGGGCUUGCACAUCUGGACGCUGAAUUAAAGGACUCCCAUGUCAACCAGUGGUAGAGGUGGAUGAAGAGUACUCUCAGGACCUUGAGUAAGGUAGAGCUGGGAGCUGAAGGAGCCUGGUUCCUCAGCCACUGCAUGGAUCAGAGAACCUCCUCCCUACCUGUGCUGAAUUAAUCAGCCAGGUGUCCUGGAGGGCCUGAGAGGGACCAGGGUGAUGAUGGGAUCCGGAGAAGAAAGUCAGAUUGGAGCAUGUGUUCCUGAUGUGGCCCCGUUACACUCCCUCAGGUGUAUCCAACCACAGAGAGUGUCCUUCUGCAGCAGCUACCACCAGAGUCUCUACAGCCACAUCUCUCAGAGCCGCAGUCACUUCAUUGAUAAACUUCAGGGGGCUGAACUGGAUACUCUUUUCAGGUGCUUUUCAGUUCCUCUAUCAAUCAUUCCAAGACACAAUUAUGUUGGAAUUAUUUUCCUGCAAGUUUCAUAAUCAAAA